rnacentral:lncRNA from 1 species
ACUGGAAAGAUGGCUCCUAUCUAUUCCAAAUAACUCCAAUAUCGCCUCAAGUGAAGAGGAAAGCCUCAUAUUUCAAGGCCACUGACUGGAACCCAUUCACAUGCCACAGGGAGACGGAUGCCGUUGUUUUUUUUACGGCAAAGGAAACAGUGAUGUAUUGGAGUCUCAUCACCCCGUCUCUCCAUCAUCACAAGCCAGUCUGGCUUGUGUAGCACGAUUAAAAUGUUAUGUCUCCCAGUGAGCUAGUAAAUAUCAACACUUUCUCUCUUUCUGUAUGUGUGUCCCUUUUUAGUGGAUAAAGCCAUUUGUUGACAAAAGUAUGGACAUUCUUAUGGGAUUGUUUUUGGAAAAGGAUAACAUGUAAUUUCAAAUUCAACAUAUGGUAGUGGUCAAAUUGUGUUCCUACUGUGGAAAAUGCUUGAAUAAUAACCUACUGCAUUCUCUUGGCCAGUACACAGAGCACAACUUGAUGAAUUUCACCAGUUUCCCUUCAUCUCCUCCUUUGGCUCCCAUCCCAUUCUGCAAGAGCUGAUAAAUCUCAUAUCCCCUGAAGAUUAUUACAGUUCCUAAUAGUCUUAUGACAUCAGAAGGAAGCCAGGCUCAGUGGCACAAAAUACAUCUAACAAAUG